UACGUAGGGUGCAAGCGUUGUCCGGAAUUAUUGGGCGUAAAGAGCGUGUAGGCGGCUAGAUAGGUCCGUUGUGAAAACUCGAGGCUCAACCUCGAGACGUCGAUGGAAACCAUCUGGCUAGAGUCCGGAAGAGGAGAGUGGAAUUCCUGGUGUAGCGGUGAAAUGCGCAGAUAUCAGGAAGAACACCCGUGGCGAAGGCGGCUCUCUGGUACGUGACUGACGCUGAGACGCGAAAGCGUGGGGAGCAAACAGG
rnacentral:rRNA from 1 species